UGAAUACGAGACGCUACGGCGUCGAAGCAGUCUAUGUCAUACUUCCAAGAAAAGCUCGCAAUGUCAUAAACAAAUAAUGCCUGUACCAUAACCGACACAGGUGGGUAGGUAGAGUAUACUAAGGGGCGCGAGAUAACUCUCUCUAAGGAACUCGGCAAAAUGACUCCGUAACUUCGGGAGAAGGAGUGCCUUAUUUAUAAGGUUGCAAUAACAAGAUCCAAGCAACUGUUUAUCAAAAACACAGGUCUCCGCUAAGUCGUAAGACGAUGUAUGGGGGCUGACGCCUGCCCAGUGCCAGAAGGUUAAAGAAGUUGGUUAGCAUUCGCGAAGCUGAUAACUGAAGCCCUGGUGAACGGCGGCCGUAACGAUAACGGUCCUAAGGUAGCGAAAUUCCUUGUCGGGUAAGUUCCGACCCGCACGAAAGGCGUAAUGAUUUGGAUACUGUCUCGGAGAGGGGCUCGGUGAAAUAGACUUGUCUGUGAAGAUGCGGACUACCUGCACCUGGACAGAAAGACCCUAUGAAGCUUUACUGUAACUUGAAAUUGAAAUUGGACUUUAUUUGCGCAGCAUAGGUGGGAGGCGUUGAGAGUAUUCUUGCGGGAAUAUUGGAGCCAUCAGUGAGAUACCACUCUUGUAAUGUUAGAUUUCUAACUUUGGAUCAUUAUCUGGUCAAAGAACAGUUUCAGGCGGGCAGUUUUGACUGGGGCGGUCGCCUCCCAAAUGGUAACGGAGGCGUACAAAGGUUUCCUCUGAACGGGUAGAAAUCGUAUCUAGAGUGUAAAGGCAUAAGGAAGCUUGACUGUGAGACCUACAAGUCGAGCAGGGACGAAAGUCGGUCUUAGUGAUCUGACGGUGCUGAGUGGAAAGGCCGUCACUCAACGGAUAAAAGUUACUCUAGGAUAACAGGCUGAUCUCCCCCAAGAGUUCACAUCGACGGGGAGGUUUGGCACCUCGAUGUCGGCUCAUCGCAUCCUGGGGCGGUAGUACGUCCCAAGGGUUGGGCUGUUCGCCCAUGAAAGCGGUACGCGAGCUGGGUUCAGAACGUCGUGAGACAGUUCGGUCCAUAUCCGGUGUAGGCGUUAGAAUAUUGAGAGGAGCCUUCUUUAGUACGAGAGGACCGAGAAGGACAUACCUCUGGUGUACCAGUUAUCGUGCCAACGGUAAACGCUGGGUAGCUAUGUAUGGAGAGGAUAACCGCUGAAAGCAUCUAAGUGGGAAGCCCACCUCAAGAUAAGUAUUCUCAC
rnacentral:rRNA from 1 species